GACGAACGCUGGCGGCGCGCUUAACACAUGCAAGUCGAACGGCAAGGCCUGCUUUCCCUUGUGGAUUGCGGGUACUCGAGUGGCGAACGGGUGAGUAACACGUGAGUGAUCUGCCCCCAACUUGGGUAUAAGCCUGGGAAACUGGGUCUAAUUCCCGAUAGGACUGCAGGGUGGUGCCUGUGGUGGAAAACGAUUUUCUAGUGGUUGGGGAUGAGCUCGCGGCCUAUCAGCUUGUUGGUGGGGUAAUGGCCUACCAAGGCGGCGACGGGUAGCCGGCCUGAGAGGGUGGACGGCGACAUUGGGACUGAGAUACGGCCCAGACUCCUACGGGAGGCAGCAGUGGGGAAUAUUGCACAAUGGGCGGAAGCCUGAUGCAGCGACGCCGCGUGGGGGAUGACGGCCUUCGGGUUGUAAACUCCUUUCGACCGCGAGGAAGCCACCUGGUUGGAAGGGUGGUGACGGUAGUGGUAGAAGAAGCACCGGCUAACUACGUG
rnacentral:rRNA from 1 species